rnacentral:lncRNA from 1 species
AUUUAUUUUAUUUUUAUUUGCAUUAUAGUGUUUUCUGACAUUGGGGUAUAGAUUUCAUGGGUCAUUUCCCUCCAUCUUUUGUUUUCACUUUUAUCUUGCUAGCUGUUGAUUAUGUUUCCAAAUAGGUGGAAGCCAAAGCCACCCAACCCUCCUCUCUGUUGCUUUUACUUUGCCAUGUUUAUCAUGUUUCCUCGUUGUUUGUUUGUUUGCUUUUGUGUGAGUUUAUGUUUGAAACAUUGAGGACAAUGUUAGAUUUAAGUGUGGGGGGGUAAACAAGUUGUUGUUGCAUGAUUUUCGUGGGAUUUUAUUCACCUAUCACUUACAAUGUUGUUUCUUGCUGUUUUAAGUGUUUUUAGUGUGUUUUUAAGCAUGUUAGUAUGUUUUGACAUAAAAAUCCGAAAAUUUGACAAAAGUUUGAAAAAAAAAAUUGUUUUGAAAAAGCCAAAAAGAGUUGUUUUUGUGUGUUUGUUUGUGUCUUAGGGUACCUUCCAACACAAAUAAUGAGGAUUUGGUUUUUAAUUGCAUGACUGUUAAAGAAAGUUAUAAACAUGGAUGGAAGUUUGAUAUGCUCUUGAUUUAUGCUUGGUUAUAGUUAUAGUUUACGAAUUCACAUGUAAUCACAAAGAAAAAAAAUCAGUUUUUG